UACGAAGGGGGCUAGCGUUGCUCGGAAUGACUGGGCGUAAAGAGCGUGUAGGCGGCCAUACAGGUCCGUUGUGAAAACUCGAGGCUCGACCUCGAGACGUCGAUGGAAACCGUAUGGCUAGAGUCCGGAAGAGGAGAGUGGAAUUCCUGGUGUAGCGGUGAAAUGCGUAGAUAUCGAGAGGAACACCUGCGGCGAAGGCGGGUUGCUGGGCCGACACUGACGCUGAUGCGCGAAAGCCAGGGGAGCGAACGGG
rnacentral:rRNA from 1 species